rnacentral:rRNA from 1 species
GACAGAGGAGCCAAGCGUUGUCCGGAUUGACUGGGCGUAAAGCGCACGCAGGCGGUUGCGCGCGUGGGGUGUGAAAUCUGGCCGCUUAACGGCCAGGCGCCAUCCCAUACGGCGCGACUGGAGUGAUGCAGAGGUCGAUGGAAUUGCCGGUGUAGUGGUGAAAUGCGUAGAGAUCGGCAGGAACACCCAGGGGGAAACCAGUCGACUGGGCAUCUACUGACGCUGAGGUGCGAGAGCGUGGGGAGCGAACCGG